GGUAACACUGUUUAUACUUUUUCUGCUUUAAUUAGUGCUUAUGGGAAAAGUGGUUAUUGGAAUGAUGCUUUUAAGGUUUUUUAUUCAAUGGAGGCUUAUGGGCUAAAGCCAAAUUUAGUCUCUUACAAUGCUGUGAUUGAUGCGUGUGCCAUAGGGGGUGUGGAGUUUAAGAAGGCAGUGGAGAUUUUUGAUGAGAUGUUUAAAAAUGGAGUGCAACCAGACCUAAUUACAUUUAAUUCGCUGCUUUCCGUGUGUAGUAGGGGAGGGCAAUGGGAGGC
rnacentral:misc_RNA from 1 species